rnacentral:rRNA from 1 species
UACGUAGGGUGCAAGCGUUUGUCCGGAAUUAUUGGGCGUAAAGAGCUCGUAGGCGGUCUGUCGCGUCGGGAGUGAAAACUCAGGGCUUAACCCUGAGCCUGCUUCCGAUACGGGCAGACUAGAGGUAUGCAGGGGAGAACGGAAUUCCUGGUGUAGCGGUGGAAUGCGCAGAUAUCAGGAGGAACACCGGUGGCGAAGGCGGUCUCUGGGCAUUACCUGACGCUGAGGAGCGAAAGUGUGGGGAGCGAACAGG